GUGGGGAAUAUUGGACAAUGGGCGAAAGCCUGAUCCAGCAAUGCCGCGUGAGUGAAGAAGGCCUUAGGGUUGUAAAGCUCUUUUACCCGGGAAGAUAAUGACUGUACCGGGAGAAUAAGCUCCGGCUAACUCCGUGCCAGCAGCCGCGGUAAUACGGAGGGAGCUAGCGUUGUUCGGAAUCACUGGGCGUAAAGCGCACGUAGGCGGCUUUGUAAGUUAGAGGUGAAAGCCUGGGGCUCAACUCCGGAACUGCCUUUAAGACUGCAUCGCUUGAAUCUGGGAGAGGUAAGUGGAAUUCCGAGUGUAGAGGUGAAAUUCGUAGAUAUUCGGAAGAACACCAGUGGCGAAGGCGGCUUACUGGACCAGAAUUGACGCUGAGGUGCGAAAGCGUGGGGAGCAAACAGGAUUAGAAACCCGAGUAGUCC
rnacentral:rRNA from 1 species